rnacentral:lncRNA from 1 species
ACUUGCUUUUGUCCAUGUGUUACCACAGGAGAGGUUGUUGAGAUACUUGAUCAAGGGGCUACAUGUAAGAAAACUUUUAAACAUUUAAUAACAGGUUUCCUUAUUAAACCAAGAAUUUUCAAUUUAAUUAACACCAAAUAAAGUUUUACCUGUAAUAUCACACUAUAACAUAUUACCAAUGAAUGUGGUGGAAUGGAUAAGAUCAUUUUACUCUUAAUCAAUGGUCUCGGGAUCCCUAGUAGGAAGCGCUUCCUCCUUUAAUAAUAAUUUCUGCCAGGGGCGAAGUUAGGACGGCGGAAAGGGUUCAUCUGAAUCCUCUUCGUAGAAAAAUUAACUGUAUAUGUAAGGUCAUAAUUAUUUUUUAUGCAUAAAUAAUAGAUGUUGAAUACCCUUAGCAUGUUUGUAUGUUUAUUCUUUAAUAUUUCGAAUCUCCUUAUGGUAAAAAUUCAGGCUCCAUAACUGGUUCCUAUAUGCAUCAUGAAUCUGAAUUAGUCGGGCCAGUGAGUACCAGAAAUAACCAUAUGCUUAUAAAAAAGCUAACACAUUAUGCUUAACUAUAGUGCCACUUACAUGAACGACAGCUAAAGGAGAUGCUUGUCUUCUUGCUUAUGCUAUGGGUUCCAUUCACUGUGGAUGGAUUUAUGGAAGAAAAUAUCGAAGAAAAUUGAGAGAACUUUUCAAAUUACCAGAGACUCCAUACUCGGACACUUUGAUUAGUUGCUGCUGCUGCGUUUGUGGUAUUUGUCAAGAGUACAGGGAACUUCAAAAUCGCGGCGUCGAUCCAUCCCUAGGUAAAAACUAAAAACUAAGGAUUCAAGUUAUAAACACAGACUAGUUUUAAAGACUUUUAACAUUAUCAGUAUAGUUUAACGUAUGAUAACAAGCUAUCAUCAUUUUAUAAGGUUGAAGGGGACCUUUGAAACAAGUAAAGUUGUCUCCAUAUGACUUAUAUGUCACGGGUUCGACCAUGAGAGCAGCUACUAAUGUUUGUAUUAGGGUAGACUGUCUCACACUGCCUUUCCCUGAACCCUACAUAAACGUGUAAUACUUUGUGCACCGAGCUGCUCCUUUAUUUUCCAUCAUUUUAUAAGGUUAUCAACUAAUGUUUAACAAAGAGACUUAUUUAUAAUUACUUUAUAAGUAAUCUGAUUGUGUAAUUUUUUUUAUAAUUAUUUUAUAAGUAAUCUGAUUGUGUAAAUAUUUUUUAUAACAUCAGGAUGGGAAGGUAAUGUGGAGAAAUGGAAACGAGAAGGAGUAACUGUGCCACCAAUUCCUACAUUUACCAUGGGUCGUUAGGCUCUUUUAUCUGGAGUGCAGUGUGCUUGUUUGUGCUAUGAGUUUUCGUUUUCUUUCUUUGAUAUAUACCUUCCAAUUGGAGCAAAUGUAGAAUGGUGUUGUUGCUACAAUAUUUGCUUGAUUGUAUUUGGUAGGUGUAGUGACGGAGCCAUAAUUCUCGCUAAGGGGCGUCCAAAUAUAAAAAAGUAAAAACACGAUGAAAUCAAUUGACACUCAUUGAACAAGGGUGCUUCCGCAACUGAUAGUGUGUACUGUUUAACUAUGUAAUUAUUACAUUAAUUAAUAAAUUUGUUUGUUGAAUGAUGAUACUAG